GUAAGAAUUUAUUUAUUAGAGUCCUUCCAACAUUGUCCUGGAAGGAAUCAAAAUCACUACACAAUUUUAAUAGCCUGCUUCUUGAAGGAACAGAAGUGAAUACGACAUGAAAAUCUUCAAAACGAACCAAGUUUUUUUUUUAAAAAAA